CCAGAUGCCCUCAGCCAACAAAUGGUCCUCAUUAUCAACAACUUAUAAUUUAAUUAGCUGUGGGCCAUUGACAGGCUCAGCCCAGCCUAGUUGCUAAACCAGGGGCCCAGCCCAACCCCAAGACCCGGAUUCUUAACGAUGUAGCAGAGCGAAUGACUGGCGCCAGGUGGCGCCACACUACAGGCGGGACCCCAGUGGAUUGGAUCUGCACCUCCCAGCCCCCUGGCUGAGUAGGCUAACCCCAGAACAGCAGAAGAGGUGUUACGAAAUAUUUGCCAUGAAAAGGGGACUUGGGUCGGACAAGGUUGAGGAUCAUCAUAUGGGAUUGGAGAUGCAUCCUGUUCUCAUGGAAUAAUCUUUGUCAAUUCAGCCUGGAGAUCUGAAAAACGAGUCUGCUGAUAAUCCACCAAUAUCCUUCAUCCUUAAAUAAUAAAUAAUAGAACUCUACAGUUCUACAUGGGCUCAUGGCCACCCAGCUAAAAGCUACAUUUCCCAGCUUCCCUUGUAUCUGGGUGUGGCCAUGUGACAGAAUUCCAACCAAUGGGAUGUGAGCAAAAGUGAUUAUGCCAUUUCCAGGCCAUGCCCUUAAAAGGGAAGAGUGUACACUCCCCUUCCCCUUUCCCCUCCUCACUGAUCAGGAUGUAAACAUAAUGGCAGGAGCUGGAGCAACCACCUUGGAACCCACCUGUCGAGAAUAGCAGAGAUACUCUUACCAGCUAUGGACUGCUUACCUUUGGAUCACUAUGUAAGAGAGAAUCAAAAUUCUGUUUUGUUUAACUCACUGUAUUUUGGGGGCUUUUGACUACCUAGAUUAUACUCUAAGUAAUACAGCUUCAUGUUACCUACCUUUAUCCAGGACCCUGUACUUCCUUAUUACUUGUACUUAUUUGUGUUUUCUUAUUUCAAAUUUUAUGUUUUAUGUCUUCCUUUUUUAAAAAAAUUUUAUUUAUUUAUUUAUUUAUUAUCUUCAGCUGCGUUGGGUCUUUGCUGCGCAUGGGGUUUCUCUAGUUGUGGCGAGUGGGGGCUACUCUUCGUUGCGGUGCACCGGCUUCUCAUCGUGGUGGCUUCUCUUGUGGAGCACGGGCUCUAGGUGCAUGGGCUUCAUUAGUUGCGGCAUGUGGGCUCAGUAGUUGUGGCGCACGGGCUUAGUUGCUCCGCGGCAUGUGGGAUCUUCCUGGACCAGGGCUCAAACCCAUGUCCCCUGCAUUGGCAGGCGGAUUCUUGACCACUGCACCACCAGGGAAGCCCU